GGGAAAAGGGGGUGAUGCCGGCGCCCUUGAGCUGGAUCUCCCAGCGCUCGCCCCGCGGGCCCAGCACCUCGCCCAGUGAAUAGCAGCUACCUCAAUGGUGGGUCAAGACCAAACCUCUCCAAAGUGCGCACACGUACUUUCUCUCAAGGGUCCAGUGGAUGCCUCCACUCAAACCUGGACAUAGCAGAGGACAGCACUUUAAGUACAAAUGACUGUGCCUGAUGUAAAGCCAAUGUUGGAGUGCUUUGCUGGACUGGGACUACAGCUGUCAGCUCCUUGCAAGACUGAGCACUGGAGACAUGAAAAGAAAAGCAACAAAAUCAACUCACCACACCUAACUCUGAACUCUGAAUUUAAGUUCUCACAUUGAGCAGUCAGUCUCCCUAUGUGUUCAGUAGGAUAGGGAAAUUCAUCCUUUUCUUCUUAACCAGUUACAUGUGGUAGGUAGAGAAACCAGCUCCCCUGCUUCAGCAUUACACUCAGAUUCCCCUCAGCAGGACAGAAUUAGUUCAAUAAUGUUCAUCAGGAAAAUGUGUUAAAUGGUGGAAUUAUCCUGUACUAGAUCUAGCUAACCAGUGUUUCCUCUUAAUAAAAAUACUGGUUAAUUAGGAAAAUAAAUACCUUCAACAGAAAUGGUGGUUAAAAUAUUUUAUUUUUUAUAUAAUAGAACAUACUGCUGUUAACUUUAAAUCACUUUAAAGGCACACAUUGUUA